rnacentral:rRNA from 1 species
GACGAACGCUGGCGGCGUGCCUAAUACAUGCAAGUGGGACGCAAGGACACACACUGUGCUUGCACACCGUGUUUUCUUGAGUCGCGAACGGGUGAGUAACGCGUAGGUAACCUGCCUAUUAGCGGGGGAUAACUAUUGGAAACGAUAGCUAAUACCGCAUAAUAUUAAUUAUUGCAUGAUAAUUGAUUGAAAGAUGCAAGCGCAUCACUAGUAGAUGGACCUGCGUUGUAUUAGCUAGUUGGUAAGGUAAGAGCUUACCAAGGCGACGAUACAUAGCCGACCUGAGAGGGUGAUCGGCCACACUGGGACUGAGACACGGCCCAGACUCCUACGGGAGGCAGCAGUAGGGAAUCUUCGGCAAGGGACGAAAGUCUGACCGAGCAACGCCGCGUGAGUGAAGAAGGUUUUCGGAUCGUAAAGCUCGGUUGUAAGUCAAGAACGUGUGUGAGAGUGGAAAGUUCACACAGUGACGGUAGCUUACCAGAAAGGGACGGCUAACUACGUG